rnacentral:rRNA from 1 species
UACGAAGGGUGCAAGCGUUAAUCGGAAUUACUGGGCGUAAAGAGCGCGCAGGCGGUCGUUCAAGUCGAGUGUGAAAGCCCCCGGCUCAACUGGGGAGGGUCACUCGAUACUGAUCGACUUGAAGGCAGGAGAGGGAAGUGGAAUUCCCGGUGUAGUGGUGAAAUGCGUAGAGAUCGGGAGGAACAUCAGUGGCGAAGGCGGCCAUCUGGGACAACACUGACGCUGAAGCACGAAAGCGUGGGGAGCAAACAGG